UACGUAGGGUGGCGAGCGUUGUCCGGAAUUAUUGGGCGUAAAGAGCUCGUAGGCGGCUUGUCGCGUCGACUGUGAAAUCCCGCGGCUCAACCGCGGGUCUGCAGUCGAUACGGGCAGGCUAGAGUUCGGUAGGGGAGACUGGAAUUCCUGGUGUAGCGGUGAAAUGCGCAGAUAUCAGGAGGAACACCGAUGGCGAAGGCAGGUCUCUGGGCCGAUACUGACGCUGAGGAGCGAAAGCGUGGGGAGCGAACAGG
rnacentral:rRNA from 1 species